UGCCUAAUACAUGCAAGUCGAACGCACUCAUUUCGACAGAAGGUGCUUGCACUGGAAGUUGAUUGACGUGAGUGGCGGACGGGUGAGUAACACGUGGGUAACCUGCCCUUAAGCGGGGGAUAACAUUUGGAAACAGAUGCUAAUACCGCAUAAAAGUUGAGAUCACAUGGUCUUAAUUUGAAAGACGGCCUUUGGCUGUCACUUAAGGAUGGACCCGCGGCGUAUUAGCUAGUUGGUGAGAUAAUAGCCCACCAAGGCGAUGAUACGUAGCCGACCUGAGAGGGUAAUCGGCCACAUUGGGACUGAGACACGGCCCAAACUCCUACGGGAGGCAGCAGUAGGGAAUCUUCCACAAUGGACGAAAGUCUGAUGGAGCAACGCCGCGUGAGUGAAGAAGGUUUUCGGAUCGUAAAACUCUGUUGUUGGAGAAGAACAGGGACUAGAGUAACUGUUAGUCCUUUGACGGUAUCCAACCAGAAAGCCACGGCUAACUACGUGCCAGCAGCCGCGGUAAUACGUAGGUGGCAAGCGUUGUCCGGAUUUAUUGGGCGUAAAGCGAGCGCAGGCGGUUUCUUAAGUCUGAUGUGAAAGCCUUCGGCUUAACCGAAGAAGUGCAUCAGAUACUGGGAAACUUGAGUGCAGAAGAGGAAAGUGGAACUCCAUGUGUAGCGGUGAAAUGCGUAGAUAUAUGGAAGAACACCAGUGGCGAAGGCGGCUUUCUGGUCUGUAACUGACGCUGAGGCUCGAAAGUAUGGGGAGCGAACAGGAUUAGAUACCCUGGUAGUCCAUACCGUAAACGAUGAAUGCUAAGUGUUGGAGGGUUUCCGCCCUUCAGUGCUGCAGCUAACGCAUUAAGCAUUCCGCCUGGGGAGUACGACCGCAAGGUUGAAACUCAAAGGAAUUGACGGGGGCCCGCACAAGCGGUGGAGCAUGUGGUUUAAUUCGAAGCUACGCGAAGAACCUUACCAGGUCUUGACAUCUAGCGCCAAUCCUAGAGAUAGGACGUUCCCUUCGGGGACGCUAAGACAGGUGGUGCAUGGUUGUCGUCAGCUCGUGUCGUGAGAUGUUGGGUUAAGUCCCGCAACGAGCGCAACCCUUAUGAUUAGUUGCCAGCAUUUAGUUGGGCACUCUAAUCAGACUGCCGGUGACAAACCGGAGGAAGGUGGGGA
rnacentral:rRNA from 1 species